rnacentral:rRNA from 1 species
CCUACGGGUGGCAGCAGUGAGGAAUAUUGGUCAAUGGGCGCGAGCCUGAACCAGCCAAGUCGCGUGAGGGAUGACUGCCCUACGGGUUGUAAACUUCUUUUAUAAAGGAAUAAAGUGAGGCACGUGUGCCUUUUUGUAUGUACUUUAUGAAUAAGGAUCGGCUAACUCCGUGCCAGCAGCCGCGGUAAUACGGAGGCUCCGAGCGUUAUCCGGAUUUAUUGGGUUUAAAGGGAUCGGAGAUGGGUAGUUAAGUCAGUUGUGAAAGUUUGCGGCUCAACCGUAAAAUUGCAAUGGAUACUGGCAGCCUUGAGUACAGAUGAGGUAGGCGGAAUUCGUGGUGUAGCGGUGAAAUGCUUAGAUAUCACGAAGAACUCCGAUUGCGAAGGCAGCUUACUAAACUGCCACUGACAUUGAUGCUCGAAAGUGUGGGUAUCAAACAGGAUUAGAUACCCCGGUAGUC